CCUUCCAUGGGAUUAGGGUUUCAGAGAUCUCGGUCGCAAGUUCUUUUUCAAUAUGGAACUUUUUGUGGUAGUUAUGCGGAAUGGUUAGCAGAAUUUUGUGGGAAGUGGCGGUUCGAGUCGGUGAUGUAACCUGUUAUAACAAGGUGAAGGUUUGAUUAAUGAUUUGAAGAAAAACAGAGUGUUCGAUAUUGAAGGAAACAAAGGAAGAAGGAGGCCAAAGGGAGUUGACUCUGUACAGUGUAUGUAGUUCUAAUUAACAUAUCGGUUUAUCCUGCAUAUUGUAUAUCAAUGAUAAACCGU